rnacentral:rRNA from 1 species
UACGGAGGGUGCAAGCGUUAUCCGGAUUCACUGGGUUUAAAGGGUGCGUAGGUGGGCAGGUAAGUCAGUGGUGAAAUCUCCGAGCUUAACUCGGAAACCGCCGUUGAUACUAUUUGUCUUGAAUAUUGUGGAGGUAAGCGGAAUAUGUCAUGUAGCGGUGAAAUGCUUAGAUAUGACAUAGAACACCAAUUGCGAAGGCAGCUUACUACACAACUAUUGACGCUGAGGCACGAAAGCGUGGGGAUCAAACAGG